GAGAAAACUUACCAACCGCGCCAGCCCAUGAGACCCCAUGUCCAGCCGGAGGAAACGCCUGCUAGCUGCCAGCUGGACCGCUCACACCAGCACGAUUGGACAAGACCAUCUCCUCAGGGAGCUGCCAGACAGUCCUCUGCAGGAUCUAUGGCUUCCAGCUCGGCAGAAGAGCCCGGGACAGAGGCCAGCACUGAUGAGAAGGCACCUGUCAGUCCUCACAACCAACACUCAUCCUGCAGCUCGAGCAGCGCAGGCACUUCUACACAGCUACAAAAUUCCCUUUCGGGGGGUCUGGAAAAGUUUGGUAUAUCUUAGAUCACGAUUUCAAGCCCUAUCACCGCAAUAUCCUUGUUACCUUCUCACAGCCCCGCCCUGAGAGAGGAAAUACCACAUCAACAUACAGACAGAGCACAAGCCACCAGUCCAGGUUAUUCCAGUUGCAGCGGAGCCUCUGCUCCCCAAAAUGCCCUUCCCCAGCUGCCUGAUGGAUCUUUGGGGGGGGGGGGGGGGGAACAGGGGGGUGAACAUGAUCCUAACUUUCAGCACUCAAUUUAAGCCGAUUAACACACCUGAUCUGCGUUACAGCGGUUUUAAUUAGCACCUUGAGCAUGAAGGUGAAUCAGAGUCCCCUAAAAUCCAUGGAAGACCUCAGCAACUGCGGAAACUGCUCAGGAUUAUGAAGCCAAGCACGGUCAUAGGGGAAAAACAACACGCCGAUGGUAGCAGCCCCAUUUGUUUGUCAUGGCCAUAAGCAAGUAUUCAAAGUUGGGCACAAAGGAUCUCAAACACCUGUGUAUUUACAUAUUAACAGCAGGAAAUCAAGCAAUGGCUUAGAAUAAACUGGCCAGGAUUUCUGU